AUUGAACGCUGGCGGCAUGCUUUACACAUGCAAGUCGAACGGUAACAGGUUAAGCUGACGAGUGGCGAACGGGUGAGUAAUGCAUCGGAACGUGCCCGGUCGUGGGGGAUAACGCAGCGAAAGCUGCGCUAAUACCGCUUACGAUCUGAGGAUGAAAGCGGGGGACCGUAAGGCCUCGCGCGAUCGGAGCGGCCGAUGUGGGAUUAGGUAGUUGGUGGGGUGAAGGCCCACCAGGCCAACGAUCUGUAGCUGGUCUGAGAGGACGAACAGCCACGCUGGGACUGGGACACGGACCAGACUCCUACGGGAGGCAGCAGUGGGGAAUUUUAGACGAUGGGCGAAAGCCUGGUCCAGCAAUGCCGCGUGCAGGAAGAAGGCCUUCGGGUUGUAAACUGCUUUUGUACGGAGCGAAAAGGUCUCCUAUAAUACAGGGGGCUCAUGACGGUACCGUAAGAAUAAGCACCGGCUAACUACGUGCCAGCAGCCGCGGUAA
rnacentral:rRNA from 1 species